UACAGAGGUCCCAAGCGCUGUUCGGAUUCAUUGGGCGUAAAGGGCGCGUAGGCGGCGGGGUAAGUCGGGUGUGAAAUCUCAGGGCUCAACCCUGAAACUGCACUCGAUACUGCUCUGCUUGAGGACUGGAGAGGAGACUGGAAUUCACGGUGUAGCAGUGAAAUGCGUAGAUAUCGUGAGGAAGACCAGUGGCGAAGGCGGGUCUCUGGACAGUUCCUGACGCUGAAGCGCGAAAACGUGGGGAGCAAACGGG
rnacentral:rRNA from 1 species